AUACUCACCUGAAAGAGGAGAUAACAUGAUAAAAAAAUGUGGCUUUCCGGAGGCAAGGCAUAUCUGUUGCACUCUGGAUGAGCUGAUCCCUGGUUUCCCCAAAUAAUGGGAAAUUGGCGACGUAGCUUGUGGUAGUGGAGUGCUGCUUCACAGUUUCCUUUGA
ensembl:snRNA U1 U1 spliceosomal RNA